GACGUAGGGUGCAAGCGUUGUCCGGAAUUAUUGGGCGUAAAGAGCUCGUAGGCGGCUUGUCGCGUCGACUGUGAAAUCCCGCGGCUCAACCGCGGGCUUGCAGUCGAUACGGGCAGGCUAGAGUGCGGGAGAGGAGAGUGGAAUUCCUGGUGUAGCGGUGAAAUGCGCAGAUAUCAGGAAGAACACCCGUGGCGAAGGCGGCUCUCUGGAACGCAACUGACGCUGAGACGCGAAAGCGUGGGGAGCAAACAGG
rnacentral:rRNA from 1 species